rnacentral:rRNA from 1 species
CUACGGGAUGCUGCAGUGGGGAAUAUUGCACAAUGAGCGAAAGCUUGAUGCAGCCAUACCGCGUGUGUGAAGAAGGCCCGAGGGUUGUAAAGCACUUUCAAUUGUGAGGAAGGUUCAGUAGUUAAUACCUGCUGUUCUUGACGUUAACUUUAGAAGAAGCACCGGCCAACUCUGUGCCAGCAGCCGCGGUAAUACAGAGGGUGCAAGCGUUAUUCGGAAUUACUGGGCGUAAAGCGCGCGUAGGCGGAUUGUUAAGUCAGUUGUGAAAGCCCUGGGCUCAACCUGGGAACUGCAUCUGAUACUGGCAAUCUAGAGUUUAAGAGAGGGAAGUGGAAUUCCAGGUGUAGCAGUGAAAUGCGUAGAUAUCUGGAGGAACAUCAGUGGCGAAGGCGACUUCCUGGCUUAAAACUGACGCUGAGGUGCGAAAGCGUGGGUAGCGAACGGGAUUAGAUACCCGGGUAGUC